rnacentral:piRNA from 1 species
ACCUGGAUAAUUAGGUUUCAAUGUGCUCA